AGCGAUUGGUUGAGAAAGCCUAACUUUUAAAAUCAUCUGAUUGGUUGUUCAACUUGUGAAAGGUAGAUAUAAGGCCGUAACUUUGCUACUGAUUUACCCCAAAACAAACCUUUGACACUUACCUUGUCUUCUGCGCAAAUUGAAAAAAAAUCAAAGCGUGAAAAUGUCGUUCACAAAAGUUACAAUUUUCUUGGCUGUCGUAUUGACAAUCAGCCUGACUUACACUGAAGCGGCAACAAUUCCUCCAUUGAUUCCUCCAGUGAUAGGCCCAGUCAUCAAUCAAGCUACUGGACUUAUCACGCUUCCUAUCGGCUUGUUUAGUGGUUUACUAAACACCUUGCUAACGACCUUUGGGGGUUUGACCGGCAGCCUUGGAAAGUAAUACCGAUAGAUACUGGAAGUACUUCAAGUCUAACGCUGAAGGAUCAACUUUAUUAUUGAGAUGUCUUGAAAUUAGAAACAUCUAAUCAUUCUUUCUUUACACAGUGAAAUUUCAAUACCAUUUUCAUAUUAUUUUAUUUCAAACAGAAUAACAGGUGUAAGAUUUGGUCAACAUAAAUCUCUAAAAGAAUUUAUAUUUUCGAAAAAUACGUUUCUUUACAUUUAAUAAAGUACCUGUUUAGAUCAA